UACGUAGGCGGUUAUUCAAGUCAGAGGUGAAAGCCCGGGGCUCAACCCCGGAACUGCCUUUGAAACUAGAUAGCUAGAAUCUUGGAGAGGUCAGUGGAAUUCCGAGUGUAGAGGUGAAAUUCGUAGAUAUUCGGAAGAACACCAGUGGCGAAGGCGACUGACUGGACAAGUAUUGACGCUGAGGUACGAAAGCGUGGGGAGCAAACAA
rnacentral:rRNA from 1 species